rnacentral:tmRNA from 1 species
GGGGGUGAAUUAGUUUCGACGUGGGCAGGAAGGGCAUCAGAAGCGAGCCGAGGUCCCCGCGUCCUCGUUAAUAAGCGGGACAACAAUAAUUGCCAACAAUAAUUACGCUGUAGCUGCUUAGUUCAGCUCACGCCGCUUGUUUCUUCCGUCUGUAAGCAACAAGGCCGGCGUCACAAUACAGACUACCCCAUGGGCUGCGCCCGGGGCUGAUGGGGGAAAACUACGGGCUGGUUCAUUGCUCACGCCUGCUGCAAGGCCGAGGGUGAACGAGAUCUAAUAUUGCAGCUGCGCUCGGAGAUGCUGGUGGUCUUUCGCUUGCGGACAGCGGUGCAACUCCGCUCACCUCCACCA